rnacentral:rRNA from 1 species
CUUGGUCAUUUAGAGGAAGUAAAAGUCGUAACAAGGUUUCCGUAGGUGAACCUGCGGAAGGAUCAUUAAAGAGACGUUGCCCUUCGGGGUCGACCUCCCACCCUAUGUUUAUCAUACCUCUGUUGCUUUGGCAGGCCCGUCCUCGGACCGCCGGCUCCGGCCGGCCCGUGCCUGCCAGGGAACCUAAAACUCUGUUUGUUAAUGCAGUCUGAGUACUAUAUAAUAGUUAAAACUUUCAACAACGGAUCUCUUGGUUCUGGCAUCGAUGAAGAACGCAGCGAAAUGCGAUAAGUAAUGUGAAUUGCAGAAUUCAGUGAAUCAUCGAAUCUUUGAACGCACAUUGCGCCCCCUGGUAUUCCGGGGGGCAUGCCUGUUCGAGCGUCAUUACAACCCUCAAGCUCUGCUUGGUAUUGGGCCCCGCCGGUUCCGGCGGGCCCUAAAGUCAGUGGCGGUGCCAUCCGGCUCCGAGCGUAGUAAUUCUUCUCGCUCUGGAGACCCGGCUGUGUGCUUGCCAGCAACCCCCAAUUUUCUAUGGUUGACCUCGGAUCAGGUAGGGAUACCCGCUGAACUUAAGCAUAUCAAUAAGCGGAGGA